rnacentral:rRNA from 1 species
GACGAACGCUGGCGGCGUGCUUAACACAUGCAAGUCGAACGGAAAGGCCCUGCUUUUGUGGGGUGCUCGAGUGGCGAACGGGUGAGUAACACGUGAGUAACCUGCCCUUGACUUUGGGAUAACUUCAGGAAACUGGGGCUAAUACCGGAUAGGAGCUCCUGCUGCAUGGUGGGGGUUGGAAAGUUUCGGCGGUUGGGGAUGGACUCGCGGCUUAUCAGCUUGUUGGUGGGGUAGUGGCUUACCAAGGCUUUGACGGGUAGCCGGCCUGAGAGGGUGACCGGCCACAUUGGGACUGAGAUACGGCCCAGACGCCUACGGGAGGCAGCAGUGGGGAAUAUUGCACAAUGGGCGGAAGCCUGAUGCAGCAACGCCGCGUGCGGGAUGACGGCCUUCGGGUUGUAAUCCGCUUUCGCCUGUGACGAAGCGUGAGUGACGGUAAUGGGUAAAGAAGCACCGGCUAACUACGUG